GAAGCUAACUUGUCAAUUUUACAGUGGCUUGACGACUGAGAAACAGGGGCUACUGUUUCGUGAGCUUGUGGUUUUGUUCCGGAGUGCUAAUAUUGAUAUACAAAACGCAACCAGAGAAGCCUUGCUGCGUUUGAAUAUUACUUGCUCUACGGUUGUCCAUGCACUUGAUUUUAUAUUCAAACAACAUAGUGGCAAAACUGAUUCAGCAUAUGGGAGGAAAAAGAAGAAGAAAUCAAUGGCGCAUCAAACGUCAACGUCAGAUCAUAAUUUGGUUUGUAAGGG
rnacentral:misc_RNA from 1 species